rnacentral:rRNA from 1 species
ACUCCUACGGGAGGCAGCAGUGGGGAAUAUUGCACAAUGGGGGAAACCCUGAUGCAGCCAUGCCGCGUGUGUGAAGAAGGCCUUGGGUUGUAAAGCACUUUCAGUAGGGAGGAAGGUAGUGUAGUUAACACCUGCACUAUUUGUACGUUACCUACAGAAGAAGCACCGGCUAACUCCGUGCCAGCAGCCGCGGUAAGUACGGAGGGUGCGAGCGUUAAUCGGAAUUACUGGGCGUAAAGCGCAUGCAGGCGGCCUGUUAAGUCAGAUGUGAAAGCCCGGGGCUUAACCUCGGAAUUGCAUUUGAAACUGGCAGGCUAGAGUCUUGUAGAGGGGGUUAGAAUUUCAGGUGUAGCGGUGAAAUGCGUAGAGAUCUGAAGGAAUACCAGU